rnacentral:rRNA from 1 species
AAUGAACGUUGGCGGCGUGGAUUAGGCAUGCAAGUCGAGCGAGAACCCCGCAAGGGGGGACAGCGGCGCAAGGAACAGUAAUGUGUAGAUCAUCUGCCCUCAGGUCCGGGAUAGCUGCGGGAAACUGCAGGUAAUACCGGAUAACAUCUCCGGAUCACAGGUGUGAUUCCGCCUGAGGAUGAGUCUGCAUCCUAUUAGCUAGUUGGCAGGGUAACGGCCUACCAAGGCAUUGGUGGGUAGCGGGUGUGAGAGCACGACCCGCGUCAUUGGGACUGAGACACUGCCCAGACACCUACGGGUGGCUGCAGUCGAGAAUCUUCGGCAAUGGGCGCAAGCCUGACCGAGCGACGCCGCGUGUGGGAUGAAGGCCUUCGGGUUGUAAACCACUGUCAGAGGGGAUGAAAUGCAGGUGGGUUCUCCCAUCUGUUUGACAUAGCCUCAGAGGAAGGACGGGCUAAGUUCGUGCCAGCAGCCGCCGUAA